UUUGAAUGGCACUUUGAAGGCGGGAUGUUUCUCUGGCGCCACUAAGUUCUUUGAUAAUAGUUAAUCGCUUUCACUCCAAAAUGGCGGAGGCGUAACGUUAACGGUCAGCUUCUGCGCGCUGAGGAUGCGAUGAAACGAUCAAUUAGCUUUCACUUCUUGAUCAAUGUAGUCAGUUCAGCAAAAUUCCACAAGCUCGAAAAUACUUGAAGAAUGAAAACGGAGCUGGAAAACAAUUUGCAUGAUGACCCAUUUAUUUUAAAUAUGUCUAUAUAUAUACGAACUCUGACGGUGACGGUUUAUGGGUGUUUGGGUAGCUAACGUUACUACUCCAGCUAGUAACGUGACGUUGGCGUUACAGGAAAAACGUUACAGGAGAAGCGGCGGUUCCCUGCUGGCCCCGCACAUACACGGCCGUGGGUGCUGCCCUGCUGGCCUGGACCAUCCUGACCGUCUGCUCCUCUAGCCCGGAAUAGACGCACAUCUACGCGGCCCACAGCUCCAAAGCAGUCGCCUCCUCAGGGACGGCCGGACAGUACCUGAGUGCAGAUGCUCCCCUGCACCUGCUGACUGACAGCGUUGAUGCAUGCCCAGACUAAUCCAGUGUGUCAGGUUCGUGCCGCUCCGUGUCGGUGAAAAAAAGGUUGGUGUUUCUGUUUGCUGUUAAGUUUGAUAUUAAUAUCAUAUUGAUAUUACAUUCAACUCCAGAUUUCUGCAGGAUGGCGUCUGUGAUUUGGCCCUGGAAAGGUAAAGCUGUUCAGUUCUGAGCUUUUUAGGUCACUCAGAUAGAAACUUUGAAUCCUGGUUACACAGUUGUUGAGUAAAAUUAAGACCCAAAACUAAACAUGCGGAGACCCGGUGGGCUUGUGGUUAAGACACACAGAGUGUGCCCUCACAUUCCCCUUGUUUCCUGUCUAUUUAUACACUCACAUCUACUACAAGUAAAGGCAAAAAUACCCAAAAUAAUAAUAAAAGCAAAACUGAAGUCUAAUAGAUUAAAAAAUGUAUUGUAAGUCAAACCUGUGAUCAGUGUAGGUCUGCAAUGAUUAGUCAAUUAAUUGAUCGGUAGAAAAUUAAAUGGCAACUAUUUUGAUAAUUAGUUGAUUA